GUCAAAGGAAUGAAGGCAAACGGUGGAGACCUAGGCACCCAGAUCGAAGAAGGGCGCAGAUACCGGCGAAACGCUUCGGGGAGCUGGCAGCAAGCUUAGAUCCGAAGAUCCCCGAAUAGGAUAACCUCCUGAACUCCUCAUUGAAUUCAUAUUUGAGGCAGAGACAACCCAGUGAACUGAAACAUCUAAGUAGCUGGAGGAAAAGAAAGCAAAAGCGAUUCCCGUAGUAGUGGCGAGCGAACCGGGAACAGCCUAAAGCCCCAAGUCAUUGGGGCGGUUGUGGGAAGACAUAUCAUAAUAGAGUAGCUUUUAGCAUACUCUAACUUUAAUUAAUUUAAAAUAUAAAGCGAAGCUUAAGCUAAAAGUGCAAAUAAAAGGAUGCGAAGCAACCCUUUUUUAACUUUUAAAAAAGUGCUUUGCACUUUUAGUAGCUUAAUUAGUUUAGUAAUUAUAAAAAAAUUAGUUAUUAGGAUUAUUGAAAAGACGAAGCAGCUGAAUCCUGCACCAUAGAUGGUGAAAGUCCAGUAGUUAAAAAACAAUAAAAACUGUCUAUUUAAACAUUAACAUUAAUAUUAACAUUAAUAUUAAAAAUAGUUUAAUAUCCCGAGUAGCAUGGGACACGUGGAAUCCCGUGUGAAUCAGCGAGGACCACCUCGUAAGGCUAAAUAUUCCUGGGUGACCGAUAGUGAAAUAGUACCACGAGGGAAAGGUGAAAAGUACCCCUGUGGGGGAGUGAAAUAGAACAUGAAACCGUUUGCUGUCAAGCAGUGGGAGCAAGCUAGGCUUGUGACCGCGUGCCUGUUGAAGAAUGAGCCUGCGACUUAUAGGAAGUGGUAUUGGUUAAGGUGUAAAAUCCGAAGCCCAAGCGAAAGCGAGUCUGAAUAGGGCGCAUAUUUUUAAAAUCACUUUUUAUGGACCCGAACCCGGGUGAUCUACGCAUGACCAAGAUGAAGCUUGGGUAACACCAAGUGGAGGUCUGAAAAGACCGAUGUUGAAAAAUCGGCUCAUGAGUUGUGCGUAGAGGAGAAAUUCCAAUCGAACUCGGAGCUAGCUGGAUUCCCCCGAAAUGUGUUGAGGCACAGCGGCGAAUAUGAUCUGUCUAGGGGUAAAGCUACUGUUUCGAUGCGGGCUGCGAAAGCGGUACCAAGUCGUUGCAAACUCAGAAUACUAGACAUUAGAGAUACUCAGCCAGUGAGACUGUGGGGGAUAAGCUUCAUAGUCAAGAGGGAAACAGCCCAGACCACCAGAUAAGGCCCCUAAAUGAUUACUAAGUGGAAAACGAGGUGCGGGUGCGUAAACAACUAGGAUGUUGGCUUAGAAGCUGCCACCUAUUUAAAGAGUGCGUAAUAGCUCACUAGUAAAGCGCUCGUGCACGGAAAAUGGCCGGGACUUUAAAGUAAUCUGCCGAAGCUGUGGUAUUAGUAAUAAUAGGUAGGGGGACGUUUUGUUUUGGGUGAAGUUUCUACUAAAGUAGGGAUGGACAAUUCGAAAGUGAGAUUGUAGGCUUGAGUAACGAAAACAUUGGUGAGAAUCCAAUGCCCCGAAAACCUAAGGGUUCCUCCACUAGGUUCGUCCAUGGGGGGUAAGGCAGGCCCUAAGACUAGGCCAAAACGGCGUCGUCGAUGGCAAACAGGUUAAUAUUCCUGUUCUAAUAAAAUUGGGAACCGAGGGACGAAGGAGGCUAAACUGGAACUGCUACUGGAUUUCAGUGGAAGCGUUUAGGUGUUGAAAGCUAGAAUAAAAACUAUGCUUGAAUUGAGGCGUUAUCCCUACUUUUGGCUUGCCUUAAGUAGCCAGUGAUGUCAAACUUCCUAGAAAAGCUCGUACACUAGCCUAGUGUUUACACUAGGUAAACAAUUUUAUUACCUGUACCUGAAACCGACACAGGUAGGUUGGUAGAGAAUACCAAGGGGCGCGAGAGAACUCUCUCUAAGGAACUCGGCAAACUAGCCUCGUAACUUCGGAAGAAGAGGCGCCUCACUCUUUUGUAAAAAAGAUCAUGAGGUCGCAGUGACUAGGCUCAGGCGACUGUUUACCAAAAACACAGGUCUCCGCAAAGUCGUAAGACUAUAUAUGGGGGCUGACGCCUGCCCAAUGCCAGAAGGUUACGGAAGUUGGUUAUUCGUUAAACAAGAAGCUGACGACUUAAGCCCUGGUCAAUGGCGGCCGUAACUAUAACGGUCCUAAGGUAGCGAAAUUCAUUGUCUGGUAAGUUCAGACCUGCACGAAAGGCGUAACGACUCUGAGCGCUGUCUCGGAGAGAGACUCGGUGAAAUAGACUUGUCCCGUGAAGAUGCGGACUAUCAACACCUGGACAGAAAGACCCUAUGAAGCUUGACUGUAUCCUGGAAUUGGGUUUCGGUUUUUCUUGCGCAGUCUAGGUGGGAGGCUAUGAAGAUUUCCUUCCGGGGAAAUUAGAGCCAUCAGUGAGAGACCACUCUGGAAGAACUAAAAUUCUAAUGGCGUUCCUUAUAUCAGGACGCUUGACAGUUUCAGGUGGGCAGUUUUUCUGGGGCGGAAGCCUUAUAAAGCGUAACUAAGGCGCGCAAAGGUUCCCUCAGUCUGGAUGGAAAUCAGACAUUGAGUGUAAAGGCAGAAGGGAGCUUGAUUGCAAGACCAACAAGUCGAGCAGGGGCGAAAGCCGGCCUUAGUGAUCCGACGGUUCCGAGUGGAAGGGCCGUCGCUCAACGGAUAAAAGUUACUCUAGGGAUAACAGGCUGAUCUAGAACAAGAGAUCAUAUCGACUUCUAGGUUUGGCACCUCGAUGUCGGCUCAUCACAUCCUGGAGCGGUAGUACGUUCCAAGGGUUGGGCUGUUCGCCCAUUAAAGUGGUACGUGAGCUGGGUUCAAAACGUCGUGAGACAGUUUGGUCCAUAUCCGGUGUUGACGUUAGAGUAUUGAAAGAACCCGCGUCUAGUACGAGAGGAUUGUCGCGGACAUACCAAUGGUGUAUCUGUUGUUUUUCCAAAAGCAAACGCAGAGUAGCUAUGUAUGGAGUAGCUAAGAGCUGAAAGCAUAUAAGUUCUAAUCUCAUCUUAAGAUGAAUACUCUCUUAGAUCGCAGCCAGAUAAGCUGUUUGAUAGGUGUAAAGUGUAAAAUUAGUAAUGGUUUAAGCUUAUACAUACUAAAGAUCGAUUGAAUUUGAC
rnacentral:rRNA from 1 species